rnacentral:rRNA from 1 species
AGGUCCCGAGUUGUAAUUUGUAGAAGAUGCUUCGGAUGUGGCUCCGGUCUAAGUCCCUUGGAACAGGGCGUCAUAGAGGGUGAGAAUCCCGUAUGUGACUGGCUGCCUUCGUCCAUGUGAAGCUCUUUCGACGAGUCGAGUUGUUUGGGAAUGCAGCUCAAAAUGGGUGGUAAAUUUCAUCUAAAGCUAAAUAUUGGCCAGAGACCGAUAGCGCACAAGUAGAGUGAUCGAAAGAUGAAAAGCACUUUGGAAAGAGAGUUAAACAGUACGUGAAAUUGUUGAAAGGGAAGCGCUUGCAAUCAGACUUGCGCGCCGUUGAUCAUCCCCGGUUCUCCGGGGUGCACUCGGCGGCGCUCAGGCCAGCAUCGGUUUCGGUGGUUGGAUAAAGGCUUUGGGAAUGUGGCUCCUCUCGGGGAGUGUUAUAGCCCAGAGUGCAAUGCAGCCUACCGGGACCGAGGACCGCGCUUCGGCUAGGAUGCUGGCGUAAUGGUUGUAAGCGACCCGUCUUGAAACACGGACCAAGGAGUCUAACACUUAUGCGAGUGUUUGGGUGUUAAACCCAUACGCGUAAUGAAAGUGAACGGAGGUGAGAACCCUUAAGGGUGCAUCAUCGACCGGUCCUGAAGUUUACGGACGGAUCUGAGUAAGAGCAUAAUUGUUGGGACCCGAAAGAUGGUGAACUAUGCCUGAAUAGGGUGAAGCCAGAGGAAACUCUGGUGGAGGCUCGCAGCGGUUCUGACGUGCAAAUCGAUCGUCAAAUUUGGGUAUAGGG